UGGGGAAAAUAUUAAUGCCACCGGUUCAAAACCGGUGGCUUUGUUUUUUUUAAAAAAAAAAACCGCCCCUUCAUAAACCCUAGCCCUAAAACUCUCCUCUCUCCCCUCCUCUCCCUUCUCUCUCUUGCUCUCCCCCUCUCUUCUCUCUCCUGCGAUCUCCCCUCACCACUUCUCUCUCAUUCUCAACAACCAUCAUCGCCGCCGCCAUCUAUCUCUCAUCUUCUUCUCUCUCGUUAUCUCUCUUGCCGUAGUUAGGGCUCAGUUGCAAAAUCGAAAAUUUCCCCUAAAACCAUAAAACACAGGCGAAAUCUCAACAAUGGCGGACGGAGGCAACAAGGGAAUCUCUCUCGACAAACUCCCUAUCAAACGCCUCGAAAUCAUUGAAGAAUCCGGCGCCGAACGCUUUUCCUCAUAGUUUCUCUCUCCUCCAUUUAUCGAAAUUGAAUACGAAGAGAAAACGCUGUGUUGGACAGAGAUGCGAAGAAGCAGAAGACGAAGGAAUCAUCUGCACUGUAAAAUCCUUUUACUACGAAUUACACUGAUUUUAUUCUGAGCUGAAAUUAACACUAUUACAAGCUAUUUUUGGUUGUUUUUUUCUGAUAUUUUUUUUUUUUUUUUGCCAUUUAGCUGAUAGAUUUGUUACUUGUUUGAUAUGAUGUAUUGAUUAUUGAGCUUGAAUCAAUUUUAACCCAGAAUUGUGGGAAAUUUUGCUUGGUUUCUGCUGGAUUUUGGUGGGUGCUUAGACCUAUGGAUUAAUUUUUGUUUGAUUGAAUUUUGGUCUGAUUGUGUAAAAAAUAUGAUUACAGUUGACUUCAAUCCUUAAUUUGUGAUGUUAUGUGAAUUUUGGUCUGAUAGUAUUUCCAUAGUUGUUAUGUGAUAGACAAGAAAGAGUACUUAAUGUGAGAUUCCCAUGUCCAGGAGAAAUGAUAGUUCCAAUUGCUGAACUAUAGAACAAAUAUGUAGCAGAUAGAUAAUAUCACUUACAAGAUGAAUUACCUUGCUAAUAUUGUUAUUUGAAAGCUAUGGUUUUAUAUUACUCUUAUUAAUCUAUAUGCUUACUUGGUGUUGGAUUGAAGUUGCAUUUGUGGUUUUGUAUGUGCAAGACUUACCAAGUUACACUAAAUAGGGCCGGCUCAAAGUAACAAGGAAAAAGUAAAGGGAGGUUGGACCUUGAAAAACUUGAUAGUUUUAGGUGUAACCAUGUAUAUUCCUAAUAACUUUAGGGUUAUUAUCCUGCCCAUAGAUUAUGACAUUUGCACCUUAGAUUGAAAACUUUCAACCAAUUUAUUUUCAAGAUCAUGCAUUUUCUUUGUGAGCUACUAUGUCAAUGUUUCCUCAUUUUUUUAGUAAUAAAGUAAUAAAGCUACUAUGUCUACAGAUUGUGAUCACAUGCUUGAAUAAAUAGCUCUUAUAAAAGAGAUAAACAAUAGAAUUGUAUGCUCUUGUUAUUUUACAAUUAGAUCAAGGCAUCUUUAGCACAAUUUUUGGUGAUUUUGAUUUUUUUUUUUGAAUUUUUCUGCGAUUUUUGAGUGAUUUUUGUUUGGUUUUGUUGAUGAAAUGGUUCUAAGAUUUGCUAGUAAAAGGUUCUAAGAUGAUGCUAAUUAAUGAAAUUGAAAUUACUUGGCAGAACUUAAAGUUUGAAUAGCUGCAAAAACGACUAGACAGCCCUUUGCAACCCCCACUACCUUGAUGGCAUUACACAGUCAUUGUUUCUUGAUUUUGCUGUUGAGACUAUGAAGAUCGCUGAAUUGGUAUGUGCUUCAAUUAGUAGAACUGUUCCAUUUCUCUGAGAUUUAUUGGUAUUAAAUACUGGCAAAUUUAUUAGUAUAUGUUCUAAUCAUUAGAGUAUAAUAAGCUGAUGAAACCGAGCAAGUAGGAUCUAUCUUGAGUGUGUUCUUAUAUAUUAAACUGAGCUGGUGGGAUCUAUCUUGAGUGUGCUUUUGUAAAUGAAACCGAUCUGCUGGGAUCCAUCUUGAUUGUGUUCUUAUAUGUCGAUGUCAAGGUUCCAAAAUUCUUGAUUGUGUUCUUGUAAGUCUUGAUGUAAAGGUUCCAAAGUUUUCUUGAAUUUGUUCUUUUAAGCUGAUGUAAAGUUUCCAAAGUUUUCUUGUUUGUGUUCUUUAAAGUCUUGGUGUAAAGGUUCCAAAGUUUUCUUUCUGUUUGCGAGGUAUGAAUGUCUGUUUGUAAUUGAAUGAUUAUUUGCCAAUGUUACUUCAUCGUAUCUAUUCAUAUUCGAAGAAUCUGAAUAACGAUUGGAAAAGACUAGCUUGAGUAUGAACAAGUUGCAUUCUGAAAAGGGCACAAAUAUAUAGGUCAUUUGCUUUCCCCCCCCCCUUUUGUAGUUUAUGAAAUCAUGCACUGAUACUGGUUUGAAGCUUCACCUUUGAGUAGGAUGUGUGUUCUUCGCCUUGGUUACAUGGGUACAUUUUUUUUAGUAAUAUAUAUUGUCUGGUACAUGUGUUGCACUUAUCUCCUUGUGCAGUUUGGAGACUACUUUGAGAAAUUAUUCAUGCUUGACCUCUAGAGACAGCAUCAUGGUGGCAUAUAACAACAAGAAGUAUUACGUUGACAUUAUUGAAACAAAGCCCUCUCAUGCAAUCAGUAUAAUCGAGACAGACUAUGAGGUGGACUUUGCCCCUCUUGAUUAUAAAGAGCCUGAAAAUGUAUUUUGCCAAGGCUUUUCUUCUCGGUCUUCCUCACUGCAUGUAUAUAUGGUUGAAUUUAAGGUGGCUGUCGGAAGAUGUUAUCUAUAAGCAAGGCUGCUGCUGCCUCGCUUAGGCUCGCUGCUGCAGUUGCUGCCUCGCCAGGUGUUACAUUGGUGAUUUGGUGUGACCUGUAUUUAACAGUGACUUGUAAUUUUUUUUUUUGGACCAAAAUUGUAAUAUUACAACCUUUUUUAAUGAAAAUAUGUA